GCGUAUAGCAACAGGCUCGUAUCGAGCCUGGUUCUUUUGUUUAUUGAUCUCAACUCUUGGUGCUAUUACAACGCAGGGGUACAUGGAUAUUUAAAGGAGAUAAGCUAGUCCUAAACUAGUCCUAGUCCAAUUACAAAUCCUAUGCUAGGUGACUGUUCCGGUUCAACACGAACUCGGACGCCGUGGUUAACUCCAACAAUCACCCCCUAAACACGAUGUCCUCAUUUUACAGCUUGGACGCCGAUCCUUCUCCGCAUCUCUGUAAACUUCUGUCGUCCCAAAGACUUGGUCAGGAUAUCUGCAAGCUGAUCGUCGGUGCAAACGUAGUUGACUUCAAUCUUGCCUUCUUCCACGCACUGUCGUAUGUAGUGAUACCUUAUAUCUAUGUGCUUACUCCUGUCAUGAUGCACUGGAUUCUUACACAGGGCAAUCGCAGAUUUGUUGUCAACAUUGAGCACCACUCUUUCAGGUUCUUUAUCUGUGAGGUCACCGAGUAGCCUUUCUAGCCACACACCUUGACCCGCUGCGGUUGCAGCUGCUAUAUACUCUGCUUCGCAGGACGAUAAUGCGACCACCUUCUGCUUUUGUGAUAGCCAAGUUACUAUGCUCCUGCCCAAGAAAUAUGCCAGACCCGAAGUACUUUUACGGUCAUCCACAUCUCCUGCCAGGUCGCUAUCACUGUAGCCAAGUAGCUCCACCAUCUCCUUCUUUUUCUCUCUCAAAUAGACACAACCGAAGUUUGUUGUCCCUUUGAUGUACCUGAGUAUAUGUUUGACAGCUGCCCAAUGUUCAGUCGUGGGUGCUUCCAUGAAGCGACUCACUAUGCCAACGGAAUAGGCCAAGUCCGGUCGUGUAUUCACAAGAUACCUUAGGCUUCCAACCACACUUCUAUAAUCCGUUGCAUCAACCGCAGGGGCUUCACUCCUUUUGCUAAGUUUAAGCCGAGGCUCCAUUGGAGCAUAAGUUGGUUUGCAAUCCUCCAUGCUACAACUUUCAAGUAUCUUCUUUGCAUAUGCCUCUUGACAUAUUGUGACCCCGUUCGGCUUUUGUUGUACCUCGAUCCCGAGGUAGUAUGUCAAGAGCCCUAGAUCACUCAUCUUGAAUAGCUCCUUCAUUUGUAGCUUGAAUCUUGCAAUCUCCUCUUCGUCUGCUCCAGUUAUCAAGAGAUCAUCAACAUAGAUGCCCACUAAGAGACGAUCCUUGCCUUUACCUCGCUUGUACAUAGCAUGCUCGAGUGGACUUUUCUCAAAACCAAGAGAAAUCAAUGUACGGUCAAGCUUGAUGUUCCAUGCCCGAGGAGCUUGAUGUAGCCCGUACAAUGCCUUGUGUAGCUUCAACACCUUGUGUUCUUCUCCUUCUUUGAUGUACCCCGGUGGUUGCUUCACGUACACUUCUUCUUCCAACUCCCCGUUCAAAAAUGCGGAUUUUACAUCCAUGUGAUGUAGCCUCCAAGAUUCUUGAGCCGCGAGAGCUAUAACUAGCCUCACCGAUUCCAUCCUUGUGACUGGAGCGAACACCUCCUUGAAGUCCACACCUUGCUCUUGCACGAAUCCUUUAGCUACGAGCCGCGCUUUAUGCUUGACCAAGUUUCCUUCAGCAUCCUUCUUGACUUUGUACACCCACUUGAGCCCUAUGGAUUUGUGACCGUUGGGAAGAUCAGCGAGCUCCCAUACUUUGUUGUCUCGUAUUGAUCCCAACUCUUCAUCCAUAUCACGACGCCAACACUCCUCAGUAUUUGCUUCUUCAAAUUUCGUCGGUUCCUCGACGCUAAGCAAACAUUGUCGUCCUCUUCUUAUAACUUUGACAGGAUUAAUAGUACGAAGUGCUUCCUCCGGAUAUAAAUCCAUCACUGGUCGAAGACGAACUGGUGUCGGCGGACGUUCCCUUGUCUCCUGUUCUGUCGAAGACGAGGAAUUUUCAUCUUGUGGAGUUGCCAAACUCCUGUUUUCUGGCGAUUCAGGUUCUCUUCCAGGCGCAGCUCCCAGGCUGCUCCCCUGUGGUACGCAGUCACUUGAUCGAGCGCUUCGAGCAUUGCUUGGUGUGUUGCACGAGCCAUCGCACGCAUCGUCUGCCGCGUCCUGCUGCGUGCCUUCGCGCGCCUCUAUCCCUGCUUUAUCUGGCGCGUUCGGCUGCGCUUCGUUGUCCAGAGAAUCACUCAGCGUCGUUGUAGUCUCCGGUUGAUUAUCGGCAUGCUCGUAUUCGUUGUAAACAACGUGAAAGAUUUCAUCAGAGAUCGGGUAUACCGGCUCGGUAGAGUUCCAAUUCCAUGACCUUGCUUCUUCAAAGACCACGUCACGAGUCACAACCACCUUAUUGGUAGAGGGGUUGCACGCACGGUACGCCUUCGAGCCUGCUUCAUAGCCAACCAAUAUCAUUGGAGUACUCCGAUCCGCCAACUUACUUGUAUGCCCGGCCACCGUCUUCACAUGCGCCACACACCCGAAAGUACGAAGAUGAUCAACCGCGGGCUUAUGUCCGUACCAUGCUUCGUACGGCGUCAUCCCAACCACACUCUUGGUUGGAGCCCGGUUCAGCAAAUAAACGGCCGUAUUGACCGCCUCACCCCAAAACUUGCUCGGGACCCCUUUUCUCUUCAUCAUGCUUCGUGCCAUUGCCACCACGAUUUGAUUUCUCCGUUCCACAACACCGUUUUGCUGCAGUGAAUAUGGCGCCGUAAGAUACCGCUUGAUCCAUGUGCUUCGCAAAAUUCUGUGAAUUCACGAGACUUGAACUCACCCCCCCGAUCGGUACGGAGGGCCUUUAGCUUGGCUUCGGAUUCUACCUCGGCCGCCAUCUUUACUUUCCUGAAGGCUUGCAAAGCUUGGUCCUUCGUCUUCAACAACACAAUCCACAUGUAUCUGCUGAAGUCGUCGACGAUGAGUAAGAAGUAUUUGUUCCCAGGUGGGGUAGCCGGUGUAAUGGGUCCGCACAAGUCUCCAUGGACCAACUCAAGAGCUUUACUUGCUCUAAAGUUUCCCUCUCUCGGGAACGAGGCCCGCCUUUGUUUCCCAACAAGGAAACCGUCGCACACUUGCUCAACAUGAUCAAUGCACGGUAGGCCACGUACCAUCUCCUUUUGUCCAAGUUGCCGAAGAGCCUGGAAAUUUAGAUGACCGUAGCGCGCGUGCCACUUCCAUGCCGAGUCCUCCAUGCUUGACAAGAGACAUACUGGAUCCACACGAUCCAAGUUGAGGACGUAGAGUCUGUUUGGCGACCUCUGCACCUUCAUGAUCAGCAUCCUCUGACGGUCAUACCCCCAUAGAUAGCCAUCUUUGAGCACAAUCUUGCAACCACGCUCCUCGAGCUGGCCAAGACUUAUGAUGUUGCUCUUUAGCUUGGGAAUAUAGUACACAUCUGUGAGUACCUUGUGACCGCCAUUCUUCAGCUCAAACAGGACAGUACCUCGCCCUGUGAUGUCAACGGUCCGCCCGUCACCGAACCGAACCGUGCCUCCAACCGAGAGAUUUAGCUCAGAAAACUGGUCCUUGUCACCGGUCAUGUGGUUGCUUGCUCCCGUGUCGAGGUACCACACGUGCCUCGCCGUGUUCACCCUCUUCUUGUCAUGAAGGUAAACCUUCUCUUCGUCGAGCGAGACAACCUCGGUAGCCGGUGCCUUCGGAGCUGGACCAUCCUCGUCCAUAAGCUCGCAUACUUCGACCAUGAGCAUCAUAUCGCUAUCAUCGCCUCCCUUGGCCAUGAGAGCUUUUUCCUUCGGUGGACUCUUGCAAUCAGACUUGAAGUGACCGAGGAUUCCACAAUUGUGACACCUUACUUUUUUUAUGUCAAAUUUUCUCCUUGGUUUUCUAGCCUUUUCUUCCUGUCCAGCGAGGUCCUUUUUCGCCGGGCUUUGCUUCUCCUUUGCUUUACUACCGCUUGUGGAUCCACCUUGCUUUCCUUUCGACAGGGCCAUCCAUUGCGCCAUUGUAAGCAUGAGAUGCUCACUCUCCUUCGAAUCGCCGAAGCUGAGACGAAUUCUCUCGUUGUGGGCCUUGAACCUUCCGACGAGAUCCUCGACCGUGAGAGUGUUCAGGUCAAGACAUUGCUCGAUCGAUGUGACGAUUUGGAUGUAGCGUGCCGGCGCGACGCGCAAAAAUCGUCGGACGAUCGCAACUUCUUCUAGAGUUGAAUCAUAGUCGCGUAUGCCGUUGACGAGGGUCUUGAGACGGGAGGCAAACUGAUCAACCGUCUCGCUUUCCUCCAUCUUCAGGCACUCGUAGCUUCUCAUGAGGGACUGAAGGUGUGCUUCCUUGACACGGUCAUGACCCUGGUGCAGGAUCUUGAUGGUCUCCCAUGCCUCCUUCGCCGUUUUCUUUCCGACGAGGUGUUGCAGCACAUCCUUCGGCAUGGCGGAGUAGAUCGCCGUUAACGCCUGACGAUCCGUCCGGUACUUUGCCGCGCCCUUCGCGUACUCGGCGCCGCCGGGAUCGACAGCUUCCCAGAAUUCCGCUCCCUCCAUCGCGACCUCCAUGUUCAUCGCCCAUAGUGCGUAGUCCUCUCGAUCCAGCCGGGGGAAUUGCGACCCCCCAACCAUCGGCAUCGGUGCUCUAGCUCCCGCCACAACAAUCUCCUUGCCCGGGUUUGACAUGAUCCUUCGAUUGCUUUUCGAAGAUCACGUCAAUAAACCAAGCUCUGAUACCAAUUGUUGGCCCAGAACCGACGCCGAGUAUUUUUUGGCCCAGAACCGACGCCGAGUAUUUUCCGGCGACGGUGACGAUCGACGACGAAGACGAACGACUGGCUGAACUCGACGGAGUAUUUUACGUCGAGAUGUACUGCACCAACAUAGUACAGCUAGCAAGCUAGCAAGCUGCUUGAUCGAUCCGAAGCAUCCCACGCACGUAGCCGGCGUAUAGCAACAGGCUCGUAUCGAGCCUGGUUCUUUUGUUUAUUGAUCUCAACUCUUGGUGCUAUUACAACGCAGGGGUACAUGGAUAUUUAAAGGAGAUAAGCUAGUCCUAAACUAGUCCUAGUCCAAUUACAAAUCCUAUGCUAGGUGACUGUUCCGGUUCAACAUGAACUCGGACGCCGUGGUUAACUCCAACAAGGUUAAGGUAUCUUAAGUUCCCCAUGGAGCCCAGUA
rnacentral:lncRNA from 1 species